rnacentral:rRNA from 1 species
AUUGAACGCUGGCGGCAGGCCUAACACAUGCAAGUCGAGCGGAUGAAGGGAGCUUGCUCCUGGAUUCAGCGGCGGACGGGUGAGUAAUGCCUAGGAAUCUGCCUGGUAGUGGGGGCUAACGUCCGGAAACGGGCGCUAAUACCGCAUACGUCCUGAGGGAGAAAGUGGGGGAUCUUCGGACCUCACGCUAUCAGAUGAGCCUAGGUCGGAUUAGCUAGUUGGUGGGGUAAAGGCCUACCAAGGCGACGAUCCGUAACUGGUCUGAGAGGAUGAUCAGUCACACUGGAACUGAGACACGGUCCAGACUCCUACGGGAGACAGCAGUGGGGAAUAUUGGACAAUGGGCGAAAGCCUGAUCCAGCCAUGCCGCGUGUGUGAAGAAGGUCUUCGGAUUGUAAAGCACUUUAAGUUGGGAGGAAGGGCAGUAAGUUAAUACCUUGCUGUUUUGACGUUACCAACAGAAUAAGCACCGGCUAACUUCGUG